AAGCCAGCCUCAGCAAUGGCGAGGUGCUAAGUAACUCAGUGAGACCCUGUCUCUAAAUAAAAUACAAACAGGGCUGGGGAUGUGGCUCAGUGGUCAAGUUCCCCUGAGUUCAAUCCCUGUUACCCCCCAAAAAAAUAUAUAUAGUGCUGGGCCAGGUGGUAUACACCUAUAAUUCCAGCGGCUCAGGAGACUGAGGCAGGAGGAUAUGAGUAUUGUGAGGAUUGUGAGUUCAAAGCCAGCCUCAGCAACUUAGCAGGGCCCUAAGCAACCUAGAGAGACCCUUUCUCCAAAUAAAACAUAAAAAAGGGCUGGGGAUGUGGCUCCUUGAUUGAGGACCCCUGGGUUUAAUUCCUGGUACCUGGCCCCCAAAGUGGUGCUGGACAACUGGACUGUGGUGUGACAGAGGGGUUUCGACCUGCCUCACACCAUAUGUAAAGAUCAGCUCAAGAGUGGGGGCGCAUAGCUCUGUGGUAGAGGGCAUGCGUACCACAUGAAAGGUCCUGGGCUCUGUCACCAACAUGAAAGAAAAAUCAACUCAAAAUGAAUGAAGAUUCAGGUCUAAAAACUAAAACUGUACAAGUCCCAGAAGAAAAUAGCAGAAAAUGUUAACGAUUUUGGAGUAGCCAUUAAUUUCUUAGAUAUAACACCAAAAGCACAUGUAAAAAAACAGGGGCUGGGGUUGUGGCUCAGCGGUAGAGCGCUAGCCUGGCAUGCACGAGGCCCUGAGUUCGAUCCUCAGCACCAAUAAAAAUAAACAAAAUAAAGGUAUUGUGUACAACUAAAAAAUAAGUAUUAAAAAUAGAAAAGCACAUAUAAAAAAAAACCAGAAAAAUUAGGUGUCUCUCACUAAAGGAUACCAACACUAAGUAAAAAGACAAUCCACAGACUCAUAGAAAAUAUACAAAUCCUAUGUCAGACAAGGAUCUAAUGUCCAGAAUAUAUAAAGAACUCUCACAAUUCAACAAUUAAAAGACAAAUAACCCAGUUAAAGAAUGAACUAAGGAUUUGAACUGACAUGUCUGUAAAGAAGACAGACAAAUGUCCUGUAAGUACUCAAAGAUGCUCAACAUUAUUGGUUACUGGGGAAAUGCAAAUCAAAACCACAGUGAGAUACCACCUCACACCCAUGAAGAUGGCUAAAAUAAAAAAGAUGGACCAUAACCCACAGGAUGGACCAUAACCCGCAUUGAAGAGGAUGUGGAGAAAUCUGAGCGUCCGCACUCUGCUGGGGAAGUGGAAAUGGGCAGAGUUUGGGAGUUUCUCAGUUAGGCAGAGUUGUUCCAUGAGCCAGCAAUUCUGUGGUGGCAAAACCAGACCUGGUUGUGAAAUGAAAUUACAAAACAUUAUGGUAAGAAACCAAGGCCUGGGGAGGGGUCAGUUUUGCCCACCUCUCUCAGCCUUUCUCCAGGAAGCCUAAUUAACCAGGAGUCCCUACUUUAUGGAUUGUAAAUAACUGCCCUAGUCUGGCCAGUCCCUCUUAAAUGUAACAGAGGCCUGUAAGAAAAAGCCAUUUCCUGUCUGUUUCUGUGAGGGUGCUUCACGUUAGAGACCCAAACAGGCCUUCAGCCACUUAGGAAUUUUAGGGGGGAUGGUGGUGGUUUAGGGGAUUGAACUCAGGGGCACUUGACCACUGAGCCACACCCCAGCCCUGUUUUGUAUUUUAUUUAGAGACAGGGUCUCACUGGGUUGCUUAGGGCCUCGCUGUUGCUGAGGCUGGCUUUGAACUCACGAUCCUCCUGCCUCAGGCUCCAAGCUGCUGGGAUUACUGGCGUGCACUACCACCCCUGGCUAGAUUAGGAUUUUGUUGUUUUUUUGUGGUGCUGGGGACUGAACCCAGGGCUUUGUGCAAGCACUCUACCAACUGAGCUACAUCCUCAGACCCAGGAAUUUUUUUAAAAAGAGGAAAAAGCCCCAAGGAUAGGAUUGGUCUAAGAUGACGUCAAUAACCUAUAAAUGUUGUGAGAAACUACUCAGAAUCGGGAGUUUUUGUUUUCCUCUGGGCCCACUAGUGUAAAAUAAAGUUUGGAG
rnacentral:lncRNA from 1 species